GUGGAGGUACUGGUUGACACGAAUAGACAGAGGAGGACCGCCGAUGCUGCCACCGCAGAAACGGCAGCACAGAGGUCGCGGCGGAGGAGGAGGUGGAGCCAGGAGGCAGGCGAGCGGAGCUGGAGCUUGGGAGCGUAGAUCUUGCUCAUCGGAAUCAAAUAUAGGGAAAAGAAGGAAAGGGCUCCGUACGAGGGCAGCGCCG
rnacentral:misc_RNA from 1 species